GACGAACGCUGGCGGCGUGCUUAACACAUGCAAGUCGAACGGAAAGGCCCUGCUUGCAGGGUACUCGAGUGGCGAACGGGUGAGUAACACGUGGGUGAUCUGCCCUGCACUUCGGGAUAAGCCUGGGAAACUGGGUCUAAUACCGGAUAGGAGCCAUUUUUAGUGUGAUGGUUGGAAAGUUUUUUCGGUGUAGGAUGAGCUCGCGGCCUAUCAGCUUGUUGGUGGGGUAAUGGCCUACCAAGGCGGCGACGGGUAGCCGGCCUGAGAGGGUGGACGGCCACAUUGGGACUGAGAUACGGCCCAGACUCCUACGGGAGGCAGCAGUGGGGAAUAUUGCACAAUGGGCGCAAGCCUGAUGCAGCGACGCCGCGUGGGGGAUGACGGCAUUCGGGUUGUAAACUCCUUUCGCUAGGGACGAAGCUUUUUGUGACGGUACCUAGAUAAGAAGCACCGGCUAACUACGUG
rnacentral:rRNA from 1 species